AUUGAACGCUGGCGGCAGGCCUAACACAUGCAAGUCGAGCGGAUGAAGGGAGCUUGCUCCUGGAUUCAGCGGCGGACGGGUGAGUAAUGCCUAGGAAUCUGCCUGGUAGUGGGGGAUAACGUCCGGAAACGGGCGCUAAUACCGCAUACGUCCUGAGGGAGAAAGUGGGGGAUCUUCGGACCUCACGCUAUCAGAUGAGCCUCGGUCGGAUUAGCUAGUUGGUGGGGUAAAGGCCUACCAAGGCGACGAUCCGUAACUGGUCUGAGAGGAUGAUCAGGCACACUGGAACUGAGACACGGUCCAGAGUCCUACGGGAGGCAGCAGUGGGGAAAAGUGGACAAUGGGCGAAAGCCUGAGCCAGCCAUGCCGCGUGUGUGAAGAAGAUCUUCGGAUUGUAAAGCACUAUAAGUUGGGAGGAAGGGCAGUAAGUUAAUACCUUGCUGUUUUGACGUUACCAACAGAAUAAGCACCGGCUAACUUCGUG
rnacentral:rRNA from 1 species